AAGUAGACGCAAUUAAACAUGAAGGAUUGUGAAGGCAAAAGAUGAACCAGCCAGCCUAGUCUCUGGAUGCAUAAGCUCCAAGUGUGGAGGAGACCCGGAGAGAAAAGCAGACUGUUCUCUGUGUUUACCUGUAAGCACAGGCCGCAACCUGCCAUGCUGUUUUUAAAUGCCCAAGAGCUGGUGACAAGAGGGUUUCCCUUUGCCAUCUGGACCUGAUUGCCUUAGAGGUAAAGAUUCAAUACCCUUAAGAAGUUAGAUUCUAAAAGAUUAUAAAUUGGUGCCACUGCUUUUGAUUGCAAUUGAUCAAUUUCCGGAUAGAGAUUGCACAAUCCAUGAAGACACACAACACUCUCAGAAGUCACUGCUCCAUGCUGUGCCCCUCAUCCCUGCCUGGGAGCUCGGUAUCUCUGCCUCCCACCUUGCUAACCAGCACCUCUGCCUUCACUCAGAGCGCUCAGGACAUAGCUGUAAGCCACUCAAAAACAGUUCUUGAAAUCUCAAGUUCAAUACUGGCCUCCUAAAUCCUAGCAAUUCCCAGAGGAGUGAGAGGUGGGAGGUGGCAAGGAUG
rnacentral:lncRNA from 1 species